AGCAAUUACAAAGCGAAACUGCGAAUGGCUCAUUAUAUAAGUUAUCGUUUAUUUGAUAGUACCUUACUACAUGGAUAACCGUGGUAAUUCUAGAGCUAAUACAUGCUGAAAAUCCCGACUUCGGAAGGGAUGUAUUUAUUAGAUACAAAACCAAUGCCCUUCGGGGCUCUCUUGGUGAUUCAUGAUAACUUCUCGAAUCGCACGGCCCCGCGCCGGCGAUGGUUCAUUCAAAUUUCUUCCCUAUCAACUUUCGAUGCUACGGUAUUGUCCUAGCAUGGUUGCAACGGGUGACGGAGGGUUAGGGCUCGACCCCGGAGAAGGAGCCUGAGAAACGGCUACUACAUCCAAGGAAGGCAGCAGGCGCGCAAAUUACCCAAUCCCGACUCGGGGAGGUAGUGACGAUAAAUACCGAUACAGGGCUCUUUUGGGUCCUGUAAUUGGAAUGAGUACAAUUCAAAUCCCUUAACGAGGAACAAUUGGAGGGCAAGUCUGGUGCCAGCAGCCGCGGUAAUUCCAGCUCCAAUAGCGUAUAUUAAAGUUGUUGUGGUUAAAAAGCUCGUAGUAGAAGCUCGGGCUCCGGCCGACCGGUCCGCCUCACCGCGUGCACUGGUUCGGCCGGGCCUUCACCUUCUGCGGAACCGCAUCCCCUUCACUGGGGGUGUCGGGGAAACAGGACGUUUACUGUGAAAAAAUUAGAGUGCUCCAGGCAGGCCUAUGCUCGAAUAGAUUAGCAUGGAAUAAUGGAAUAGGACGUGUGGUCUUAUUUCGUUGGUUUCUAGGACCGCCGUAAUGAUUAAUAGGGACAGUCGGGGGCAUCAGUAUUCAAUCGUCAGAGGUGAAAUUCUUGGAUCGAUUGAAGACUAACUACUGCGAAAGCAUUUGCCAAGGAUGUUUUCAUUUAUCAGGAACGAAAGUUAGGGGAUCGAAGACGAUCAGAUACCGUCGUAGUCUUAACCAUAAACUAUGCCGACUAGGGAUCGGACGGUGUUAUUUCUUGACCCGUUCGGCACCUUACGAGAAAUCAAAGUGCUUGGGCUCCAGGGG
rnacentral:rRNA from 1 species